ensembl:lncRNA
GUGCGUCGGAAGUGAAAGGGGUCCGCCUCUUCGGAUUUUUCCGACGGCCGCGGGAGCCUUGGGAAAGGAGUGGGGAUGGCGCGUGGGAGGAGUGGGUGUAACUGGGGAGACCGCACUAGUACUUUAGCGCCGCCCCUCGCCCCGUGGAGUCACCAGAGCAACAAAUGCCUCCGGAAUGCCGGCGCGGGGGACAUUUCCUCUCGACCUCUAACCCCUCUCCCCCGUGACGGGGCGCCAGGCGCGUCCCGCGCGUGCUCAGGCCUUUCUGGGCCGUCGCGGAGCCGGCUCCCCGGCUGACUGUUGACACGACCGCCUCGCGUUCCGGUGUCCGGCCGAGUGCUGAAGAGGCAGCUUCUCGGAUGGAAGAGGACCCAGAGCUGGAAGGCCGUCCUUGUCGCGGGGAGCAGGGCGGUCCAGCUGUCCCCUCCACCUUUUCCCGUGUCGGUCUUUGGCGAAAUCCCCACAAAAAGCGCUGAGUGUCGUGGUCCCUGGACCCUCAACCCCUCCCCGCCGUGGUGGCCCGUGUCGUGUCACCAGGCGCGGGAGGUUGAGCUUGAAAACUAAUGUUGUGCGGUUGUUAAAGAGGACAUCCCUGAUAACUCGUCUGGUAAAGAAUCCGCCCGCAAACUGGGAGACCCGGGUUGGAUUCCUGGGUCGGGAAGAUCCCCUGGAGGCGGGUAUGGGAACUCACUCAAGUUUUCUUGCCUGGAGGAUUCCAUGGACAGAGGAACCUGGCGGGCUACAGUUCAUGGGCUCGCAAAGAGUCGGAUACGACUGCGUGAGCAAGCAUGCACACAGAUCUUAAAGAACACAUAUGGGGAGGCUUUGGACACUUGAUGCAAAGAACCGACUCAUUGGAGAAGACCCUGGUACUGGGAAAGAUUGAAGGCAGGAGGAGAAGGGGACGACAGAGGAUGAGUUGUUUGGAUGACAUCACCGACUUAAUGGACAUGUUUUUAUUGAGUCGCUCAGUCCUGUCUGAUUCUUUCUGACCCCAUGGACUGCUGCAGGCCAGGGUUCCAUGUCCUCACUAUUUCUCCCAGAGUUUACUCAAACUCAUGUCCAUGAAAAGGAAGGAUAUACCCGUCUGAAUGCAGAG